rnacentral:lncRNA from 1 species
GGGCGUUGGAGAGGCCGCCCUUUUUGCAAGGCCCGAGACGGCGGGACCUGCACAAGCCGCCCUAUUCCAUGCCCUCAGGGCGUCAGUAUCCGCCUCAGGCCAGAUAACCCCUCUGGGCCCCGGGUGCCCCCGCUGGGCCCGGAGCAUCCUCGGCGCUGCCCUCCCAGAGCCCCGCAGAGGCUGAGGUGGCACGGGUUGGAGGGCCUGGCUCUGCGAGAAGCGGCGGCAGCGAGGGCUGGAGGACCCGGGCUACGUGGCUCUGGGGCGUCUGGCCUGGGUGGGACUGAGCCCAUCCAGGGACUGGGACUCCGGGGUUCUGGUGUAGGUGGAUCCGGGGCAGGCUCAGGACCAAGUCCCUCUCCUUCCACCAAGGAGCACCCAGAGGCCGGCGGGAGCUCCAGGUUCACCUCCUCUUCCUCCAGGAAAUCCCACUUCCAACUGGAUGUCUGGAUGAACUACUGAAAGCUGCUGAGUGUCCUGCAGCAGGACAUUUUCAAUCCAGAGGAAGACCUUCUAAAAGAGGUGAUGGGUGGGAGAGUGCUGACAUACUAUGUGAAGCUACUAUUUGGAGUUGGACAGUAGUGCAUGUGACUUUGUGUCACAGCGGGAAUCUUGACUACCACACAAAUGAAUCCAUUCAAAUGUUGGCAAGUGGAGCAGAGUCCCAGGACAGGUACAGAAACACCCCCAGUUCAAGGAUCUUCACACCUGGAUUUAGGCCUACACCUGCAACUACCCCAGGCCAGUUAUCCAGGCAGUGACUUUCUGUACAGCUACAGUCACCUCUGGACACCUGCGGAGACUUUAAAAAUUUCCAGAAGGUCAGGAAUUUGUGGAGACCUUUCUCAUGGCUACGUUGCUUGCAAAGGUGAAUCAAUAAGCUUCUGAACUGACUUAGAAAAUGUUGCAGUCUCUUGUGAACAGAUAGACCCUCUCCUGCCACUCCAGAUACACAUAUCUGGGUCACACACACACCUGAUUUAACAACAUCUCAUUAUCUCAGUCUCACUCUGUCACCCAGGCUAGAGUGCAAUGGCAUGAUCUCGGCUCACUGCAACCUCCGCCUCCAGGGUUCAAGAGAUUGUCCUGCCUCAGCCUCCCGAGUAGCUGGAACUACAGGCACGUGCCACCACACCCUGCUAAUUUUUUUGUAUUGGUAGAGACAGGGUUUCACCGUGUUAGCCACUGACCUCGUGAUCCCAAAGUGCUGGGAUUACAGUGCCUCGGCCUCCCAAAGUGCUGGGAUUACAGGCGUGAGCCACCGCGCCCGGCCCCACUAAUGGUUUUUUCAAGACCUAUCUUGGGUGCUCCUAGGUAAGAUCAGAUGGAGAGCAGGAGAACUACCUGAGACACUUUUGAGGGACAGGCAUGUAGGAACUGCUGCAAUUUGAGGUCAGAGCAAGGUAAAGGUCUCACUGUGAGAAUCGCGGUAAACCCUCUGUUACUGGGGAGUGGGUUGGGGAGCUGAGAGAAACCCCCUUCACUCUCUGUUCUCACAGGUGCAUAAGAAGAGAGGCCUGAUGAGGUCUGAAGGCAGGGGAGGGCAGGUAGCUGAGAGAAGUAGAUUCUCUGGUCUUUCACUGAGUGUGAGGCAGCUACUGCCCGAGGUUGGGCAAGGGAUGGAAGCCCUGAGAGAUUCUUGAGGUGCAGAGAUAGAGGCUUGCUGAGGAUGAAAGUGGACAGGAAAGCUAAGAGAGGCUCCAAUGCUGACCAUGGCACUCUGCAAGAAGAUAAAAAUCUGUAUGUAGAGGUUUAUGAGGGAAAAUCUUGAGUUCAGUUUUGGAUAUAUGUUACUUUUGAAAUCAAGUGUCCAAGUAGAUACACCAUUAUGCAGUUGGGUAAUUUAUUAUAAGCCUGGAGUUCAAAAGGAGGUCCAAAAGGAGAAUUGAAAGGGAUGAGACUUGCUGAGCCCCUCCAAAGAGUGUGUGGUGAGGGAGAAGAGAAGAGGACCAGGAACUGAGCUCUCGAGCUCUCCUAUAGGAGGUGUGAUGCAAAAGAUGAGGAAGAAACAAAGGAAGCCGAAGUGGUAGCUCCAGUGAGACAGGCUGAGAAUCAAGUGAAUGUGCCGUCCUGGAAGCCAACUGAAGAAAGUAUACUGUGAAGAAGGUAGUGAUUAUCUGUGUCAAAUGCUGCUAAUAGGCCAAUUAAAGUUGUAGUGGAAAAUGAUCAUUGGAUCUAGCAAUAUAGGGAUUAUUCGUAACUUUGACAAAAGUGGUGUCAAUAGCAUGAUCGAAAAAGGGGGAGAGAGCCUGAUUGGGAUAUAUUUAAGAAACAAUGAGAAGAGAGGAAUUGAAGACACAGAGUAUGGACAACUAUUUUAAGAUGUUUUGCUGAAAAGUAGAGCAAAAAUUGGGAUGACAGCUGGCAUCAGAAGAAAUGCAAGGACAUUCUUUUUCUUAAAUCAGAAAAACAACAGCAUAUUUGUUUGCUGGUGGUAAUAAUUUACUAGCAUCAAAAUUGAUGACACAGUCAUGAUAUAGUGAACUGCAACAGGAAAAUCCCCAAGUACACAGCGAAGAGGGAAUAUAAUACACAAAUUUAAAAACUAUUUGGAUCUCUGAAACAUCUGUUUUGAUAUUAGCCUUUCAUUCCUGCAAUAGUUAUUUUAAGCAUGUUCUCAUUUUCUCUUGUUC